rnacentral:rRNA from 1 species
AAAGUUACGCUAAUACCGCAUACGAUCUAAGGAUGAAAGUGGGGGCUUCGCAAGAACCUCAUGCUCCUGGAGCGGCCGAUAUCUGAUUAGCUAGUUGGUGAGGUAAAGGCUCACCAAGGCUUCGAUCAGUAGCUGGUCUGAGAGGACGACCAGCCACACUGGAACUGAGACACGGUCCAGACUCCUACGGGAGGCAGCAGUGGGGAAUUUUGGACAAUGGGCGCAAGCCUGAUCCAGCAAUGCCGCGUGAGUGAAGAAGGCCUUCGGGUUGUAAAGCUCUUUUGUCAGGGAAGAAACGGUGGAGGUUAAUACCUUCUGCUAAUGACGGUACCUGAAGAAUAAGCACCGGCUAACUACGUGCCAGCAGCCGCGGUAAUACGUAGGGUGCAAGCGUUAAUCGGAAUUACUGGGCGUAAAGCGUGCGCAGGCGGUUUUAUAAGUUUGUCGUGAAAGCCCCGGGCUCAACCUGGGAAUGGCGAUGAAGACUGUAAGGCUAGAGUGUGUCAGAGGGGGGUAGAAUUCCACGUGUAGCAGUGAAAUGCGUAGAUAUGUGGAGGAACACCGAUGGCGAAGGCAGCCCCCUGGGAUAACACUGACGCUCAUGCACGAAAGCGUGGGGAGCAAACAAGAUUAGAUACCCUGGUAGUCCACGCCCUAAACGAUGUCUACUAGUUGUCGGGUUUUAAUUAACUUGGUAACGCAGCUAACGCGUGAAGUAGACCGCCUGGGGAGUACGGUCGC